UACAGAGGGGGCUAGCGUUAUUCGGAAUUAUUGGGCGUAAAGGGCGCGUAGGCGGCCUUGCGUGUCUUUCGUGAAAUCCCUCGGCUUAACUGAGGACGUGCGGAAGAAACUGCAGGGCUUGAGUCCGGGAGAGGGGGGUGGAAUUCCCAGUGUAGCGGUGAAAUGCGUAGAUAUUGAGAGGAACACCUGCGGCGAAGGCGGGUUGCUGGGCCGACACUGACGCUGAUGCGCGAAAGCCAGGGGAGCGAACGGG
rnacentral:rRNA from 1 species